GAUCCUGGCUCAGGACGAACGCUGGCGGCGCGCCUAACACAUGCAAGUCGAACGGAGAUUAUUAGGGAGCUUGCUCCUUGGCAAUCUUAGUGGCGGACGGGUGAGUAACGCGUGAGUAACCUGCCCUCAGGAGGGGAAUAACGUCUGGAAACGGACGCUAAUACCGCAUGACAUAGCGGAGGGGCAUCCCUCUGUUAUCAAAGAUUUAUCGCCUGAGGAUGGACUCGCGUCCGAUUAGA
rnacentral:rRNA from 1 species